CACGUAGGGGGCAAGCGUUGUCCGGAAUUAUUGGGCGUAAAGAGCUCGUAGGCGGCUCGGUAAGUCAGGUGUCAAAUCCUCAGGCUCAACCUGGGGCUCCACCUGAUACUGCUGUGGCUAGAGUCCGGUAGGGGAGCGUGGAAUUCCUGGUGUAGCGGUGAAAUGCGCAGAUAUCAGGAGGAACACCAGCGGCGAAGGCGGCGCUCUGGGCCGGAACUGACGCUGAGGAGCGAAAGUGUGGGUAGCAAACAGG
rnacentral:rRNA from 1 species